CGUAGGGUGCGAGCGUUAAUCGGAAUUACUGGGCGUAAAGUGUGCGCAGGCGGCCGAGCAAGUCGAGUGUGAAAGCCCCGAGCUUAACUUGGGAACUGCGCUCGAAACUACUUGGCUAGAGUGUGGCAGAGGGAGGUGGAAUUCCACGUGUAGCGGUGAAAUGCGUAGAGAUGUGGAGGAACACCGGUGGCGAAGGCAGCCUCCUGGGCCAACACUGACGCUCAUGCACGAAAGCGUGGGGAGCAAACAGGAUUAGAUACCCUGGUAGUCCACGCCCUAAACGAUGAUGACUAGUUGUUGGAGGAGUUAGAUCCUUUAGUAACGCAGCUAACGCGUGAAGUCAUCCGCCUGGGGAGUACGGUCGCAAGAUUA
rnacentral:rRNA from 1 species